UACGUAGGCAGCGAGCGUUGUUCGGAGUUACUGGGCGUAAAGGGUGUGUAGGCGGUCUUCUAAGUCUGGUGUGAAAUCUCCCGGCUCAACUGGGAGGGUGCGCCGGAAACUGGGAGGCUAGAGUGUGGGAUGGGAGAGUGGAAUUCCUGGUGUAGCGGUGAGAUGCGUAGAUAUCAGGAGGAACACCUGUGGUGUAGACGGCUCUCUGGACCGCAACUGACGCUGAGACACGAAAGCGUGGGUAGCAAACAGG
rnacentral:rRNA from 1 species